AUUACAUCCCCAAAAGAUUUAUACAGUACCAAUUCUAUGAUUACUGACUAUGAAAAUUAACUGUUUUUUCUAUGCAUCACAUGUACACAGCUUCCAAGUGGAACACUGGUUUAUAGUCAGCGAGAUAAGUUCCAGUCCUGGAUCAUCCAUUUACUGGCUGUGGACUCUGAUCAAUCCAAAGGACACUAAGUGGCAAGAGAAAUGAAUAUGGCAAGGAUAGGGGGAAUCCUGUGGUUACCCAAAUCAGAAUGCUAAAGCCCAAGCAAGGAAGUAACAAACCCCCAGUAACAAUGAGCACACCUGGCUCUGACAUCUUUUCUGAAGACCAUACUCUGAAACAGGAUCCAAGGCUCCUUGGAGAAAUGGCUGAUCCCAAGUCUAGGACAGGGAAACUAUAAGAUGAGCCUGGGACAUCUUUGCCAGGAAGGAAAGAAGUGCUAAAAGACUUAUGAGAACAUGUCAAAAAGACUCUUGAAGGAGUUCUAACUUGCAGGGGUCUGACCCGCAGACCCUGAGCCACUGACGGAUGAAUGAAGUACACUGACACACAGAUAAUCUGCUUUGCUUGUCCAGCUGGGUGUCCGAGCCGCUUACAGACUCCCUGGAGAGUACUGUAAACAGUUGUGACUGUGGCCCUGACCAGCUAGUGAGACUCGCAUUUAUUUGGUAAAGAUUAAUUGACAAAGGCUUGAGUCAACAGCACUAGAGGGUAAUUGACAUUGUGGACUUCCCAAGUAGAAAGACUUGGGGGAGUGAGACUCGCAUUUAUUUGGUAAAGAUUAAUUGACAAAGGCUUGAGUCAACAGCGCUAGAGGGUAAUUGACAUUGUGGACUUCCCAAGUAGAAAGACUUGGGGGAGUGAGACUCACAUUUAUUUGGUAAAGAUUAAUUGACAAAGGCUUGAGUCAACAGCACUAGAGGGUAAUUGACAUUGUGGACUUCCCAAGUAGAAAGCAAUUAAGUACCUGUGGUACAUCAAAGGUUAGUCUUAAGACCACAUGAGUAAAUAAGCUAGCUAGAUAACUUCCCCAUAUUCCUUAGUUACUAAUUUAACUUGUUUAACUAAAGGUAAAGGGAGCAGGCCACCUUCAGCCAGAUCUAUUACUGAAGUUAUACAAACUCUCAGGCCUUACAAGAGAGUUUGUUGCUAUUAUUAUAACUAUCUUUAAUAUUUUUCCCACCAGACUAAUUGAACCCCCACACUCACUGACCAAAUCUGGAAUAAUCUGAGCAUCAAACUAAGUAAUGAAAGCAACUGGUUUUAACCUACUGAAUAAGAUAGGAACCCAUGAGUCCACACUGAAAUAAAUAAAUGAAUGGACAAAUUGAAAGUCUGAUGAGGAACAGGAUAUUUGCAUAGUCUCAAAGUGCCUCCUUACAAAGUAUUUAUUAAUUACAAAGGGAAGAAAGAGUAACUUUACCAUGGAGAAAUCUAGCAGACACCAAUCAGUGACCAAAGUUAAUAUCACCAGUAAUGAGGUGAAUCAAAAUUGUCACCAUUGCUAUGAUAUUCCUAUCAAAGAUGCAAUCCUAAAUCUAUUCAUAAGAAAACAUUAGGUGAACUCAAAUUGAGAGUUAUUCUACAAAAUAAUUGGCCUGUAAUCUUCAAAAGUGUUAAGGUCAUAAAAGCCAAGAAAGACUAGGGAACUGUUCCACACUGAAGAAAACCAAACAGAUAUGACAACAAAAUGAAACACAUGAUGCUGAACUGGACCCCUUUGCUAUGAAGGACAUCAUUGAGAAAAUUGAGGAAACUUGACAGAAUUUGAGGAUUAUAUGGUAGUAGCCUAUCACUGUUAAUUUGCUGACUUUGAUGGUAAUAUGGUUAUGUAGAAGAAUGUUUAUAGGGAAUACAUAGAAGUAGUCAUGUAAGUUGAGUGAUCAUGUUAGCAACUACACUCAAAAAAUUUCAAAAAAGUUCUUUUACUGUACUUACAACAUUUUACAACUUCGAGAUUGUCUUUAAAUACAAAGUAAAUGGAAAGCAUACAAAUGAAAGAGAAAAAAUACCAAAUCCACUCUGAAAGAAGGAAAAGCCACAUGAGAUUGUUCACAUAGGAAAAGGAUGAUACAAUGAAAUGAAAGAAAGAAUAAAGUUUGUAAAUCUCAAUAUUCUCCUAGAAGAUAAUCAUAACAAACAUUGUUUUAGAAAUGUAUGCCUCCUGAGAUUCAAAUAAUCAGUUUCACUGUUAGUAUGAAUCAUAACUUCAUUUAAUGCAGGAGUGCUUUACAUUUCUUUCCACUAUCAGUCAAAAUUUCUCCUAAAUAAAGGACAUGUUGGGGUUAUUGUAGAAAAAUAGUCUAGCAUAUCUCUGGCUACCCUGCUUUAGUUCAUGAUGACUAAAUAAUUGAAAACUGUUCUGUAUCACAGAGGGGAAAAAAUGUCUUUUCUACCAUGAAAAUUAAGAGUCCAUUGGUUAAAAGAAAGGCUCUAGACAUUAGAGCAGGAGCAUCCCGAUGAUUUGUUUUUAAUGAAUGAGUAAGGAGUUGUGAGCUCCUGGGCAAUUGAACCUCAUACAUAUGCCUGACAUUUUCAAAUUAAACAAGUGCUGAUCAUUAUUAGAGUGGCAUGGGCCUUUGAGAAAAUUAAGAAGUUUAUAAGAAUUACAUUACAAAUAUCUAACAGAGUAAGGAAUUACCAUUAUCACUUGAAGCGAAGAGACGUUAUCACCAUCAAGCAUUUUUUUAAAAAAGAAUAAGAAUAGAGAAGAAUAAAGAAAAAAAGAAAUCAGAGUCAAGUAGAUUCAAUAGAGUAAAUGGAGAAACAUCUCAGAAUAAUCAGAAAAUUAAGACAAAACUUACCUGGUCUGAGGCAACAUAAAAUAACAAAGGCCUCAUAAGUUUAUUUUAUACUAAUCCAACCAAUAUGCUUGGGAAAUGUAUGUGUUCCUGUAAAUACCUGGAAGACAUGCAAUGAUUCCUGGCUGUAAACCAAGAGAAGAAAAAUUCAUCAAAGUUACAGUCUCCAUCAAUAAGCUUGAAUUGUUUACUAAUAAUCAGAGGCACUAAAGAGUUAGGAAAGGUCUAGGAUGUGUCUUAGAGGGGAAAAAAGUUGUACCGCUCUACAUCUUCUCCUUAAAAUGGAAAGAGUAGAACACUAUGGGAGCUCCUGUAGAUGGGAACAAAAAUCAGAAAAUGAGGCAAUAUUUUCAUUUCUACAACCCUCUUGACACUGCCAGUCCCAGUUCACUGAUCCAAUUGUACAGAAACAUAGUUGACGGAGAUUCUUAAUUAGAACAUUUUUCUUGAAAAAUUUUUGAUAGAGAACAUUUUGAAAUUUAUUUUUAUUGCUUUCCCCCACUUGAUCUUGACUGAUUAGAUCAAACAUACAUUAGCUCUGUCAGUGUCCAGGUUUUAGCCCGAACUGGAGAGAGAGAAUGCAGGGAACUUUCUUCAUUUAACUAAGUAAACACUGCCACAAGAAAAAGCGUUUGCUGAGGAAAGAGACGAACAAAAUUGCUUUUACAAGGUAGACUUGUUAAGGGCUGCAUGGCUGUGUGUUUCUUUGGUGCUUUUCCUGGCCUUUUCACCAAGCUUUGGGGAUCUGGCUCUGAAGUUUGUGCUUCCCACCAUCCAUGGUCCACCUGCCCGCCCCUUCUGGAAUGUUUUCAACUGGACACCUAAGAAUUUGUGUAAGGAGAAUUGUUUCUCCUGCUCUUUCUCCUGACAGAAAUUACUGACCUUGCUGGUUUUCUAUCAAAAGAAAAAAAAAUUCUUUCACAUGAAUCUAGUAGUUAGGUAACAUUUUUGUAAGAUUACAUAAACAAAAUAAUGGUU